UACGAAGGGGGCUAGCGUUGUUCGGAAUUACUGGGCGUAAAGCGCACGUAGGCGGACUAUUAAGUCAGGGGUGAAAUCCCGGGGCUCAACCCCGGAACUGCCUUUGAUACUGGUAGUCUCGAGUCCGGAAGAGGUGAGUGGAAUUCCGAGUGUAGAGGUGAAAUUCGUAGAUAUUCGGAGGAACACCAGUGGCGAAGGCGGAG
rnacentral:rRNA from 1 species